UAGGGAAUCUUCCACAAUGGACGCAAGUCUGAUGGAGCAACGCCGCGUGAGUGAAGAAGGUUUUCGGACCGUAAAGCUCUGUUGUUGGUGAAGAAGGAUAGAGGUAGUAACUGGCCUUUAUUUGACGGUAAUCAACCAGAAAGUCACGGCUAACUACGUGCCAGCAGCCGCGGUAAUACGUAGGUGGCAAGCGUUGUCCGGAUUUAUUGGGCGUAAAGCGAGCGCAGGCGGAAGAAUAAGUCUGAUGUGAAAGCCCUCGGCUUAACCGAGGAAUUGCAUCGGAAACUGUUUUCUUGAGUGCAGAAGAGGAGAGUAGAACUCCAUGUGUAGCGGUGGAAUGCGUAGAUAUAUGGAAGAAUACCAGUGGCGAAGGCGGCUCUCUGGUCUGCAACUGACGCUGAGGCUCGAAAGCAUGGGUAGCGAACAGGAUUAGAUACCCUGGUAGUCCAUGCCGUAAACGAUGAGUACUAAGUGUUGGGAGGCUUCCGCCUCUCAGUGCUGCAGCUAACGCAUUAAGCACUCCGCCUGGGGGAGUACGACCGCAAGGUUGAAAC
rnacentral:rRNA from 1 species